AAGUGGUUGAUGAACUUCCAGAAUGCAAAACUGGAGAUGAAGCUGAAUGGCUUUGGUUGUGGCAGGAUAGAUACUCUUAAAGCCAAUGGGGAUAUCGGCUAUAACAAAGAACAGAUACAUUCUGAGCUGAACUUGUCACUCUGGUCUCAGUGUGAGCAUCAUUUAUUACCCUUUUAUGGCGUUGUGCACAUUGGUUACUUCUGUUCUGAGGGAUUCAACCCCAUUGGAA
rnacentral:misc_RNA from 1 species